rnacentral:tRNA from 1 species
GGAGAGGUGUCCGAGUCUGGCCGAAGGAGCACGGUUGGAAACCGUGUAAGCAGGGGAGCUUGCUUCGAGGGUUCGAAUCCCUUCCUCUCCAUCA